AUUGAACGCUGGCGGCAGGCCUAACACAUGCAAGUCGAACGGAGUGGCGGACGGGUGAGUAAUGCUUGGGAAUCUAGCUUAUGGCGGGGGAUAACUACGGGAAACUGUAGCUACUACCGCCUACCAUCGGAUGAGCCCAAGUGGGAUUAGGUAGUUGGUGAGGUAAAGGCUCACCAAGCCGACUAUCUCUAGCUGGUCUGAGAGGAGGACCAGCCACACUGGAACUGAGACACGGCCCAGACUCCUACGGGAGGCAGCAGUGGGGAAUAUUGCACAAUGGGCGAAAGCCUGAUCCAGCCAUGCCGCGUGUGUGAAGAAGGUCUUCGGAUUGUAAAGAACUUUAAGUGGGGAGGCGUUACCAGCAGAAUAAGCACCGGCUAACUUCGUGCCAGCAGCCGCGGUAAUUC
rnacentral:rRNA from 1 species